GCCUCCUUAGCUCAGUUGGUAGAGCAACUGAUUUGUAAUCAGUUGGUCGCUGGUUCGAGUCCGGCAGGAGGCU
rnacentral:tRNA from 2 species